rnacentral:rRNA from 1 species
AAUCAACGCUGGCGGCGUGCCUAACACAUGCAAGUCGAACGCGAAAGCCCUUUCGGGGGUAAGUAGAGUGGCGUCCGGGUGAGUAACACGUAGGUAAUCUGCCUUCGGGUGGGGAAUAACCAGUCGAAAGAUUGGCUAAUACCGCAUAAUGCAGCGGCACCUAAUGGUGAUUAGUUGUUAAAGCGGGGGGAUCGUAAGACCUCGCGCCUGAAGAGGAGCCUGCGGCAGAUUAGCUAGNGGUGAGGUAAUGGCUCACCAAGGCUUCGAUCUGUAGCUGGUCUGAGAGGACGGCCAGCCACACUGGCACUGACACACGGGCCAGACUCCUACGGGAGGCAGCAGUGGGAAUUUUGGGCAAUGGGCGAAAGCCUGACCCAGCAACGCCGCGUGAGGGAGGAAAUCCUUCGGGAUGUAAACCUCACAAGCAAGGGAAGAGAGCUCAGGGCCGAAUAAGCUUUGAGUCCGACGGUACCUUGCGUAAGCCACGGCUAACUACGU